GACGAACGCUGGCGGCGUGCUUAACACAUGCAAGUCGAGCGGUAAGGCCCUUUCGGGGGUACACGAGCGGCGAACGGGUGAGUAACACGUGGGUGACCUGCCCUCAGCUCUGGGAUAAGCCUGGGAAACCGGGUCUAAUACCGGAUAUGACUCCAUGACGCAUGUUGUGGGGUGGAAAGCCUUGUGCGGCUGAGGAUGGGCCCGCGGCCUAUCAGCUUGUUGGUGGGGUGAUGGCCUACCAAGGCGACGACGGUAGCCGGCCUGAGAGGGCGACCGGCCACACUGGGACUG
rnacentral:rRNA from 1 species